rnacentral:rRNA from 1 species
AACGAACGCUGGCGGCAGGCUUAACACAUGCAAGUCGAACGGGUGUAGCAAUACAUCAGUGGCAGACGGGUGAGUAACACGUGGGAACCUUCCUAGGGGUACGGAACAACUCAGGGAAACUUGAGCUAAUACCGUAUACGUCCGUGAGGAGAAAGAUUUAUCGCCCUUAGACGGGCCCGCGUCGGAUUAGGUAGUUGGUGGGGUAACGGCCUACCAAGCCGACGAUCCGUAGCUGAUCUGAGAGGAUGAUCAGCCACACUGGGACUGAGACACGGCCCAGACUCCUACGGGAGGGAGCAGUGGGGAAUCGUGGACAAGGGGCGCAAGCCUGAUCCAGCCAUGCCGCGUGAGUGAAGAAGGCCUUAGGGUUGUAAAGCUCUUUUGGCAGGGACGAUAAUGACGGUACCUGCAGAAUAAGCCCCGGCAAACUUCGUGCCAGCCGCCGCGGUAAUAC